GAAAUGCGAUAAGUAAUGUGAAUUGCAGAAUUCAGUGAAUCAUCGAAUCUUUGAACGCACCUUGCGCUCCUUGGUAUUCCGAGGAGCAUGCCUGUUUGAGUGUCAUUAAAUUCUCAAUCUCUGUCAACUUUGUUGUUUAGAAGAUUGGAUAUGGGGGAUUUUGUGGGUGCAAUAGUGUUCACUCCCCUAAAAAACAUUAGCUGGAAUGCCUUUGCAAACCAACUAUCAGUUUGAUAAUUAUCACUACUGGCGUUGUUGCAUAAAGGGAAUCUGCUUUCUAAUUGUUCUUAUAUGACAAUAUGAAUCAUUUUGACCUCAAAUCAGGUAGGACUACCCGCUGAACUUAA
rnacentral:misc_RNA from 1 species